UUGGAGAAGCGGGACUGGAUGUGUUGGUUGAACCUCCUUGCUUCUUCUAGUUAAUCCGACCUAGUUCUAUAUUUUCAUCUAUGUUGUCAUCAUACAAAUUAUAACACACAAUAAAAGUAUAAUGUGCAUAUUAAAAAGUAGGAUUGUUCAUGAAUUUAUUUUAGAGUGGCUUGCAUCAGAUUCUGUUCACACAGAUAUUUAUGUAACUAUAUUGCAUUUCAGUCAGUGUGUAGCUAUCUGGUGAUUUCUCACUUUUGAAUAUUCAGACAGCAGCAUUAACAUAAAAGUAUAGGAAACAGACCCUAUUGAGCACAUCUGAUUCAGAAACACUUGCCCUGACUUGGCAUUGUCUGCCCAGGAUUCCUAUAUGUUUAGAUAAUGUGUUGUAGUUGGCUCAUCCUGGUCUUCUUUAUUACACAGAAUGCAGCUGUACAGGUGUUGAUUAUAAAUUGUAUGAUUUUAACUGUAUUUGUGUUUAGAUUGGCUGCAGUGGUGCUGGAGCGGCCUAAGUCAGAGGAGUCCUCCAUGUGCGUUGCCAUGGAGACCGAUGCAGGAGAGAGAGAAGUGGGAGGAGCUUAGAGGGGAGAGUUUGAAAGAACGACAGUUAAAAAUCAGUUAGGUUUUAGGUUCCGAGGAGUGAGGAGUGAGGGUUUAGGUUUAGAGGAGUUGGUAGAGGAAAGGAUUAGGAGGUUGUAGCUGAAAGAGAGUAAAUUGUGAAGCAAAGUUUCGAGGCUUUGGAAAGCCAGAUUAAGCUACUGGAAGUUUCUUAGCCUAGAGAGGCUGAUAAGGGAAACGAAGCCAGUAUUCCUUUAGUCUAAGGAAAGGCUAAAGAAUAAUCUUAUUAAGUAUCUGAUCAAGGGAGGAUCAGAUAAGGGAGACAUCCCUGUAUUGAAACUUUGUUUUGUAAUAAGUGCUUCACCUCAGGAAGAUACUGUGUAACCUGAAAGAGUGUAACAUUCAACUAACCAAGCAUUGUUCUAAGUUCUAUAACAAAAGUUACGUCUUGCAACCACACGCUGUGUACUUAAUAAAAUUGUUAACUUUUAUUUGAA